rnacentral:rRNA from 1 species
ACUCCUACGGGAGGCAGCAGUGGGGAAUAUUGCACAAUGGGGAAACCCUGAUGCAGCCAUGCCGCGUGUGUGAAGAAGGCCUCGGUUGUAAAGCACUUCAGUAGGGAGGAAGGUAGUGUAGUUAACACCUGCACUAUUUGACGUUACCUACAGAAGAAGCACCGGCUAACUCCGUGCCAGCAGCCGCGGUAAUACGGAGGGGUGCGAGCGUUAAUCGGAAUUACUGGGCGUAAAGCGCAUGCAGGCGGCCUGUUAAGUCAGAUGUGAAAGCCCGGGGGCUUAACCUCGGAAUUGCAUUUGAAACUGGCAGGCUAGAGUCUUGUAGAGGGGGUAGAAUUUCAGGUGUAGCGGUGAAAUGCGUAGAGAUCUGAAGGAAUACCAGUGGCGAAGGCGGCCCCCUGGACAAAGACUGACGCUCAGAUGCGAAAGCGUGGGGAGCAAACAGGAUUAGAUACCCUGGUAGCACAGAG